GGAUGUACGGGUGACUGCAGACAUCUGCCCUGCCCCAUUGGUCAUGAGGGGUGAUUCUGCAGAUUUGGCUACUUCAGUGAAUGUCCUCUUCCUCCCUCACCUCACCAAGUGUGUCCCUCCUGAAGCUGCAUGUGAGGUUGAAGGAUGACCUUCCCAAGUAGAGGAGGGCUGGCCUUCAGUCAGAGAUGUGUAAGAAGCUGCGUUCCCUGAUAGAACCUACAAAAAAAGCACUCAGAAAAAGAAGACAAAGAUGAAAGAUUUAAGCAAUCAGUGAUGAUAGGAUUGAAGAAAAUUAGCCUAUAUAUC
rnacentral:snRNA from 1 species